GGUAAAAUUGUUUAUCAGGUCAAGAUCUAUCUGCCCUGAAAUUUUCAGAUAAGUCGGACAACCUGUUGUUGGGUUGCUGCCCCUGAAUCGGUAAUUUUAAGGAAAUUUUGCUGUUUUUGGUUAUUAUCUUUAAUAUUAUUAUAGAUAGAGAUAAACUAUAAACAGCAAUAAUGUUCAGCAAAGUAAGAUUUACAAAUAAGUCAGCGUGACUGAAAUGGUCAGUUGACCCCUUUAGGAGUUAUUGCCCUUUAUAGUCAAUUUUUAACCAUUUUUUCGUAUAUCUUAGUUAUCUUUUACAAAAUUCUUCUCCUCUGAAACUACUGGGCCAAAUUAAUCCAAACUUGGCCACAAUCAUCUUUAGGGUAUCUAGUUUAAAAAAUGUGUCCGGUGACCCGGCCAUCAAAUCAAGGUGGCCGCCA
rnacentral:lncRNA from 1 species